rnacentral:rRNA from 1 species
UAAUACGUAGGGGGCAAGCGUUGUCCGGAAUCAUUGGGCGUAAAGCGCGCGUAGGCGGCCCUGUAAGUCCGUUGUGAAAGUCAAAGGCUCAACCUUUGAAAGCCGAUGGAUACUGCAGGGCUAGAGUCCGGAAGAGGCGAGUGGAAUUCCUGGUGUAGCGGUGGAAUGCGCAGAUAUCAGGAGGAACACCAAUAGCGAAGGCAGCUCGCUGGGACGGUACUGACGCUAAGGCGCGAAA